GCCCAGCUAGCUCAGUUGGUAGAGCAUGGGACUCUUAAUCCCAGGGUCAUGGGUUUAAGCCCUACAUUGGGCG